GCCCAGUUGGCUCAGUGGUUGAGUGUCUGCCUUCUGCUCAGGGCUUGAUCCCAGGAUCCCGGGAUCGAGUCCUGCAUUGGGCU
rnacentral:tRNA from 1 species